GUGGGGAAUAUUGGACAAUGGGCGAAAGCCUGAUCCAGCCAUGCCGCGUGUGUGAAGAAGGUCUUCGGAUUGUAAAGCACUUUAAGUUGGGAGGAAGGGCAGUAAGUUAAUACCUUGCUGUUUUGAUGUUACCGACAGAAUAAGCACUGGCUAACUUCGUGCCAGCAGCCGCGGUAAUACGAAGGGUGCAAGCGUUAAUCGGAAUUACUGGGCGUAAAGCGCGCGUAGGUGGGUUUGUGAGUUGGAGGUGAAAUCCCCGGGCUCAACCUGAGAACUGCUUCCAAAACUGCAUGACUAGAGUACGGUAGAGGGUAGUGGAUUUUCCUGUGUAGCGGUGAAAUGCGUAGAUAUAGGAAGGAACACCAGUGGCGAAGGCGACUACCUGGACUGAUACUGACACUGAGGUGCGAAAGCGUGGGGAGCAAACAGGAUUAGAAACCCUAGUAGUCC
rnacentral:rRNA from 1 species